rnacentral:sRNA from 1 species
CAGAGUUCAGCUUGUGGUUCCUGGGUCCUAUGAGGGUCCGCAGGAGGCCUCUUUGGGCAUUGGCACCUUCCACUUCCACUGCCCAGCCUGCUGGGAGCAGGAGCUGAGUAUUUACCUGCAGGAUGCCCUCGAGGAGCAACUAAAGGUGCCACUGAGUGCCCUGCCCUCUGGCCAAGUGGUGAGGCUUGUCUUCCCCACGUCCCAGGUACUGGCCUCCCAGGGGAGGAAGCAAGGCGCCUGGAUGGGGCUGGGACCCAGGCCACAAAGGGAGGGGCCUGCUUCCCGCUUCUCCGUGGGUCACACCCUGAGCAGGUGCCGGGGCCAGGCUCUUUGGGGAGUGUCCUCUGAGCAUCCCUGCUUCAGGCCUGGCCCCUGUGGAGACAGUGGCGGGGUGGGGGUGGUGCGCCUGGGGUCAGGGUAAGAGGACCAGAGCUGGGUGGAGGUGGCCGACCUUUGUGACUGGGGCCUUCACGGUUUUCAGGAGCCCCUGAUGAGAGUGGAGCUGAAAAAAGAAGCAGGGUGAGAGGCCUGGCUGGGGACUGGUCAAGGCCCUGGAAAAGCAACCAGGGCGCGGGGCUGGAGGAGGCCUGGAGGAGUGGGGGGGAGAAACAGCCGCCCCUCAUCCUCAUGCUCUCUGAAGGGGCUCAGGCUUGCGCUCAGCGGGGGGGCACGAAGUACUGGGAGGAGUCUUAGCACCUGUGGUCAGAGGGGUGCGUGACCGACCGGCCCAGUGCCAGGCACCCGGGGAGCACUUGAUAAAUGCUUGGCUGGAAAACGCAGGGAGGCGAGGCUGGAAAAUGGUAACAUGGUUUGGGGCACAGAGAGGGCAGGAAAACCAAGGCAGAGAAGAGGGGAAAUUGCGCCCUUUUGGGUGGAAGCUGUUAUGGCUGGACCUUAAAUGAUCUUCGUAGAGCUGUCGCCCACCCUGGCCCUCUGUCUUGAGAGCGUGGCUUCUCACCUCGCAGACACAGGCUCCUUGGUCCUUUUCUGCCCCUCCCCCUGCCUUUUUUUUUUUUUUUUUUUUUUUUUUGAGAUGGAGUCUCUCUCUGUCCCCCAGGCUGGAGUACAGUGGUGCGAUCUUGGCUCACUGCAACCUCCGCCUCUGGGGUUCAAGCGAUUCUCCUGCCUCAGCCUCCCGAGUAGCUGGGAUUACAGACCGAGGGAGCUGGCCGUGCGACUGGGCUUCGGGCCCUGUGCAGAGGAGCAGGCCUUCCUGAGCAGGAGGAAGCAGGUAGUGGCCGCGGCCCUGAGGCAGGCCCUGCAGCUGGACGGAGACCUGCAGGAGGAUGAGAUCCCAGUGAUAGCUAUUAUGGCCACUGGUGGUGGGAUCCGGGCAAUGACUUCCCUGUAUGGGCAGCUGGCUGGCCUGAAGGAGCUGGGCCUCUUGGAUUGCGUCUCCUAUAUCACCGGGGCCUCAGGCUCCACCUGGGCCUUGGCCAACCUUUAUGAGGACCCAGAGUGGUCUCAGAAGGACCUGGCAGGGCCCACUGAGUUGCUGAAGACCCAGGUGACCAAGAACAAGCUGAGUGUGCUGGCCCCCAGCCAGCUGCAGCGGUACCGGCAGGAGCUGUCCGAGCGCGCCCGCUUGGGCUACCCAAGCUGCUUCACCAACCUGUGGGCCCUCAUCAACGAGGCACUGCUGCAUGAUGAGCCCCAUGACCACAAGCUCUCAGAUCAACGGGAGGCCCUGAGUCACGGCCAGAACCCUCUGCCCAUCUACUGUGCCCUCAACACCAAGGGGCAGAGCCUGACCACUUUUGAAUUUGGGGAGUGGUGCGAGUUCUCUCCCUACGAGGUGGGCUUCCCCAAGUACGGGGCCUUCAUCCCCUCUGAGCUCUUUGGCUCCGAGUUCUUCAUGGGGCAGCUGAUGAAGAGGCUUCCUGAGUCCCGCAUCUGCUUCUUAGAAGGUAUCUGGAGCAACCUGUAUGCAGCCAACCUCCAGGACAGCUUAUACUGGGCCUCAGAGCCCAGCCAGUUCUGGGACCGCUGGGUCAGGAACCAGGCCAACCUAGACAAGGAGCAGGUCCCCCUUCUGAAGAUAGAAGAACCACCCUCAACAGCCGGCAGGAUAGCUGACUUUUUCACUGAUCUUCUGACGUGGCGCCCACUGGCCCAGGCCACACAUAAUUUCCUGCGUGGCCUCCAUUUCCACAAAGACUACUUUCAGCAUCCUCACUUCUCCACAUGGAAAGCUACGACUCUGGAUGGGCUCCCCAACCAGCUGACACCCUCGGAGCCUCACCUGUGCCUGCUGGAUGUUGGCUACCUCAUCAAUACCAGCUGCCUGCCCCUCCUGCAGCCUACUCGGGACGUGGACCUCAUCCUGUCAUUGGACUACAACCUCCACGGAGCCUUCCAGCAGUUGCAGCUCCUGGGCCGGUUCUGCCAGGAGCAGGGGAUCCCGUUCCCGCCCAUCUCGCCUAGCCCCGAAGAGCAGCUCCAGCCUCGGGAGUGCCACACCUUCUCCGACCCCACCUGCCCCAGAGCCCCUGCGGUGCUGCACUUUCCCCUGGUCAGCGACUCCUUCCGGGAGUACUCGGCCCCUGGGGUCCGGCGGACACCCGAGGAGGCGGCGGCUGGGGAGGUGAACCUGUCUUCGUCGGACUCUCCCUACCACUACACAAAGGUGACCUACAGCCAGGAGGACGUGGACAAGCUGCUGCACCUGACACAUUACAAUGUCUGCAACAACCGGGAGCAGCUGCUGGAGGCCCUGCGCCAGGCGGUGCAGCGGAGGCGGCAGCGCAGACCCCACUGAUGGCCGGGGCCCCUGCCUGGCCCUGCCACCCCUGACUCUCAUUCAUUCCCUGGCUGCUGAGUUGCAGGUGGGAACUGUCAUCACGCAGGGCUUCAGAGCCUCGGGCUCAGGUGGCCCUGUCCCAGGGUCCAGGCUGAGGGCUGGGAGCUCCCUGGGGCCUCAGCAGUUUGCAGUGGGGUAAGGAGGCCGAGCCCAUUUGUGUAAUCACCCAAAACCCCGCGGCCUGUGCCUGUUGUCCGUUCUGCACUACCUUGAGUAGUUGGAACAUUUGAUACAUUACAGACUCAUAC